GCAAGUCGAGGGGCAGCACGGUUUUCGUACUGUUUGCGACCGGCGCACGGGUGCGUAACGCGUAUGCAAUCUACCUUAUACUGGAGGAUAGCCCGAGGAAACUCGGAUUAAUACUCCAUAGUAUCACGAAAUGGCAUCGUUUUGUGAUUAAAGAUUUAUUGGUAUAAGAUGAGCAUGCGUCUGAUUAGUUAGUUGGUAAGGUAACGGCUUACAAAGACAAUGAUCAGUAGGGGUUCUGAGAGGAUGAUC
rnacentral:rRNA from 1 species